UACGGCCACACCGCCCUGAACGCGCCUGAUCCUGUCUGACCUCGGAAGCUAAGCAGGGUCGGGCCCGGUCAGUACCUGGAUGGGAGAUAGUUAGCUAAUUCUUGAUAAGCCUUUA
rnacentral:rRNA from 1 species